ACCCUUGGUCAGGUUGAAGUUCAGGUAACACUGAAUGGAGGACCGAACCGACUUACGUUGAAAAGUGAGCGGAUGAACUGAGGGUAGCGGAGAAAUUCCAAUCGAACCUGGAGAUAGCUGGUUCUCUCCGAAAUAGCUUUAGGGCUAGCCUCAAGUGAUGAUUAUUGGAGGUAGAGCACUGUUUGGACGAGGGGCCCCUCUCGGGUUACCGAAUUCAGACAAACUCCGAAUGCCAAUUAAUUUAACUUGGGAGUCAGAACAUGGGUGAUAAGGUCCGUGUUCGAAAGGGAAACAGCCCAGACCACCAGCUAAGGUCCCAAAAUAUAUGUUAAGUGGAAAAGGAUGUGGCGUUGCCCAGACAACUAGGAUGUUGGCUUAGAAGCAGCCAUCAUUUAAAGAGUGCGUAAUAGCUCACUAGUCGAGUGACACUGCGCCGAAAAUGUACCGGGGCUAAACAUAUUACCGAAGCUGUGGAUUGUCCUUUGGACAAUGGUAGGAGAGCGUUCUAAGGGCGUUGAAGCAUGAUCGUAAGGACAUGUGGAGCGCUUAGAAGUGAGAAUGCCGGUGUGAGUAGCGAAAGACGGGUGAGAAUCCCGUCCACCGAUUGACUAAGGUUUCCAGAGGAAGGCUCGUCCGCUCUGGGUUAGUCGGGUCCUAAGCUGAGGCCGACAGGCGUAGGCGAUGGAUAACAGGUUGAUAUUCCUGUACCACCUAUAAUCGUUUUAAUCGAUGGGGGGACGCAGUAGGAUAGGCGAAGCGUGCGAUUGGAUUGCACGUCUAAGCAGUAAGGCUGAGUAUUAGG
rnacentral:rRNA from 1 species